AUUGAACGCUGGCGGCAGGCUUUACACAUGCAAGUCGCACGAGUGGCGGACGGGUGAGUAAUAUCUGGGAAACUGCCUGAUGGAGGUGGAUAACUACUGGAAACGGUAGCUAAUACCGCAUACCAUUGGAUGUGCCCAUAUCGGAUUAGCUAGUAGGUGGGGUAAAGGCUCACCUAGGCACCGAUCCCUAGCUGGUCUGAGAGGAUGACAAGCCACAAUGGAACUGAGACACGGUCCAGACUCCUACGGGAGGCAGCAGUGGGGAAUAUGGCACAAUGGGCGAAAGCCUGAUGCAGCCAUGCCGCGUGUAUGAAGAAGGCCUUCGGGUUGUAAAGUAAUUUCAGCAGGGAGGCGGUACCCGCAGAAGAAGCACCGGCUAACUCCGUGCCAGCAGCCGCGGUAAUUC
rnacentral:rRNA from 1 species